UACGAGGGGUGCAAGCGUUGCUCGGAAUUAUUGGGCGUAAAGGGUAGGUAGGUGGUCUCAUUUGUCUGGGGUGAAAGCCCAGGGCUUAACCCUGGAAGUGCCCCAGAAACGGUGAGACUGGAGUCCUGGAGAGGGUCGUGGAAUUCCCGGUGUAGCGGUGAAAUGCGCAGAUAUCGGGAAGAACACCCGUGGCGAAGGCGGCUCUCUGGGACGGUACUGACGCUGAGACGCGAAAGCGUGGGGAGCGAACAGG
rnacentral:rRNA from 1 species